CAAAAUUCAAACCCCCCAUUCUCUCUCUCAAAUAUAGUUCUGACUCCAUUUUCAAAAUUUAAACUAUAAUUUCAAUCCUGUCUCUCUCUCUCUCUCUCUCAAAUUCAGAGUGCCCUCAUCUUACCGCCGGAGAUACUCGCCGUCCCCGGUCAGUCGCCGCCGUCGAAGAGUUCGGAGCCGUUCAGCCCUUCAGAUUAGAGAAUGUGGGGAUUUAUGAUAUGUUUGAGUAUUAGAAAGAAACAGAAGGGCUGAUCGACAAUAUGAAGAAGGGCCCAUCUUGCGUGCAGCACCGAAUAAAUUGAAGUUGCCAUCUUUUUCUGAGUAUGAAGUCAGAUUCAAGAAUCUUGUCCUUUAGAAAAGAACGUUUUGCUAUUGGAUUCAGAGGGCAAGAGGGCAACGAUAAAUUUGAAACAAAAUCAAAGCUUCUCUCAUCAAUUAACGGUUUAAACUUCUCUUUUUCAGUUCGUGCUCACUUUUGAAUUCUGCAUGUUUGAGACUUUGUUGCAAAAGGCAUUUUGAGCUCAACAUUAUAUGCUGCUAGCUCUCAGUCACACUCAUUGGUGAAAGGAAAAGUAAAACUUUGCAACUCUAGAUGAGAAAACCGGAGUGGUCACCGGCAGAAAGGCUGAUUGACAAUAUGAAGAAGGGCCCAUCUUGUGUGCAGCACCGAAUAAAAUGAAGCUGCCAUCUUUUUCUGAGUAUGAAGUCAGAUUCAGGAAUCUUGUCCUUUAGAAAAGAACGUUUUGCUAUUGGAUUCAGAGGGCAAGAGGGCAACGAUAAAUUUGAAACAAAAUCGAAGCUUCUCUCAUCAAGUAAUGGUUUAAACUUCUCUUUUUCAGUUCGUGCUCACUUUUGAAUUCUGCAUGUUUGAGACUUUGUUGCAAAAGGUAUUUUGGUAAUAACUUAGUCACUCAUCGCUGAAAGGCCUGCCGUGACUUUUUUGUUCGUUUGUCAUUUCCAUUUAUCGUCUUAUCCUUUGAUUUAUGUAGAGCUUAACGUUAUAUGCUGCUAGAUCUCAGUCACUCAUUGGUGAAAGGCCUGCCAGCGAUCAGGAUUAGAGACCACCAGGACUAUAUCAAUGGAGUCUAGAUUCGAUUUAGGGGUUUUAAUGGGGAAUUAUUUGUUUUCUUUUUUCCAUUUGUUAGUUUUAUUGCUGAUUAGACUAGAUUUUUUUACCAACAAAUAUUACUGCCUAUAAAAAAAUGAAUUGCAAACCAUUUUUUCAGCACCAAAAAUACAAUACUAAACUGUUUUUUUAGAAAAAAGAAGAAAAUGAAAGCGUUAAGGAUGUGAUUCCAGUUGAAGAUGUGAAAGUUUCAACAAGGGAACUUGAGAAAGAAGAAAAAUGAUAAACUACAAAUGGUUAAGCAUCAAGGUGAUGGUGGUUAUAACGAUGGAGACGUCGAUGAUCCCGAUAUGCCAAAAUGAUUUGUGAAGAACAUGGAUUUAUAUCGAAAUAGUGAAUGUAAUCCGCGGUUUCGGUUUGAGUAUUUUGAAAAGCAUCAUGGAAUACCGAGAGGAAAAGAUAAGGGCGCGUUUUAGAGUUGAAGCCGAGGCAAAAAGGCAUGUAACGAGGCAUGAGUUAUACCCAACAAUGAAGGAUCUUGCAUCAAGAGAUGUUUCAAGGUUUACGAUCACGGAAUAUAGAACAAUGUUUGCUCGAUUGUUAUUUAAAAGGUGUUCCCUUUUAUUUGUUAUUUAAAAGACGUUCUGUUUUUUUAUAAUCUAUUUUUAAUUAAACCUUAAAAAUGUAUAGUCAUUCGUCGUUUUAUACAAUAUGGUAUGCAUGGUUUUCUAAGAAA